rnacentral:rRNA from 1 species
UACGUAGGAGGCAAGCGUUGUCCGGAAUUACUGGGUGUAAAGCGCGUGUAGGUGGUGGGCCAAGUCUGUGGUGAAAUCGCCCGGCUCAACUGGGCGGGGUCCGUGGAAACUGGUCGACUGGAGGACGGUAGAGGCGAGUGGAAUUCCCGGUGUAGUGGUGAAAUGCGUAGAGAUCGGGAGGAACACCAGUGGCGAAGGCGGCUCGCUGGGCCGGUCCUGACACUGAGGCGCGAAGGCGUGGGGAGCGAACGGG